rnacentral:rRNA from 1 species
UACAGAGGUCCCAAGCGUUGUUCGGAUUCAUUGGGCGUAAAGGGUGCGUAGGUGGCAUGGUAAGUCGGAUGUGAAAGCCCUUGGCUCAACUGAGGAAGUGCACCCGAAACUGAGUGGCUUGAGUACUAAAGAGGGUCGCGGAAUUCCCGGUGUAGAGGUGAAAUUCGUAGAUAUCGGGAGGAACACCGGUGGCGAAGGCGGCGACCUGGGUAGAUACUGACGCUGAGGCGCGAAAGCGUGGGGAGCAAACAGG